GACGAACGCUGGCGGCGUGCCUAAUACAUGCAAGUAGGACGCUGAAGGAGGAGCUUGCUUCUCUGGAUGAGUUGCGCACGGGUGAGUAACGCGUAGGUAACCUGCCUGGUAGCGGGGGAUAACUAUUGGAAACGAUAGCUAAUACCGCAUAAUAGUAGAUGUUGCAUGACAUUUUCUUAAAAUGUGCAAUUGCAUCACUACCAGAUGGACCUGCGUUGUAUUAGCUAGUUGGUGUGGUAACGGCUCACCAAGGCGACGAUACAUAGCCGACCUGAGAGGGUGAUCGGCCACACUGGGACGGGGACACGGCCCAGACUCCUACGGGAGGCAGCAGUAGGGAAUCUUCGGCAAUGGACGGAAGUCUGACCGAGCAACGCCGCGUGAGUGAAGAAGGUUGUCGGAUCGUAAAGCUCUGUUGUAAGAGAAGAACGAGUGUGAGAGUGGAAAGUUCACACUGUGACGGUAUCUUACCAGAAAGGGACGGCUAACUACGUG
rnacentral:rRNA from 1 species